UACAGAGGCCCCAAGCGUUACUGAGAAUCACUAGGUUUAAAGGGUGCGUAGGUGGCGCGUUAAGUCCGUUGUGAAAUCCCUGGGCUCAACCCAGGAAAUGCUUCGGAUACUGGCGUGCUUGAGGCUAGUAGGGGUCACUGGAACUGACGGUGGAGCGGUGAAAUGCGUAGAUAUCGUCAGGAACGCCAAUGGUGAAGACAGGUGACUGGGCUAGAUCUGACACUGAGGCACGAAAGCGUGGGGAGCGAACGGG
rnacentral:rRNA from 1 species